rnacentral:tRNA from 1 species
GCCUGGGUGGUGAAAUCGGCAAACACAGAGGACUUAAAAUCCUCCGCCUCGCGGCUUACGGGUUCGAGUCCCGUCCCAGGCA